GAUGAACGCUGGCGGCGUGCUUAACACAUGCAAGUCGAACGGAAGUAGCAAUACUUCAGUGGCGCACGGGUGAGGAACACGUAGCUCAUCUGCCCUCAAGUGUGGGAUAACGCUCCGAAAGGAGUGCUAAUACCGCAUAAGCUCCCGGAUUGCAGAGGUCUGGGAGAAAAGGAGUAAUUCGCUUGAGGAGGAGGCUGCGGCCCAC
rnacentral:rRNA from 1 species